GAUUAAAUGGCUGAUAAAAGUAAUAGAUUGUAAAUCUAUAAAUAAGGAAUAGUUCCUUUUUAAUCA
rnacentral:tRNA from 1 species